rnacentral:rRNA from 1 species
CGCGCGCGCGAGCGAGAGGGCGAGAGGCCCAUCCGCGCAACGAAAGCGAAUGGCGGGACGCUCUCCCGCAGGGGGGGCGGCGCCGCCGGCCGGACGUCCUCGAGGCGGACCGAGCCGGAGCGCUCGCGUCGGGACCCCGAAAGGUGGUGAUCUAUCCGUGCGCGCGGCGAAGCCGGGGGAAACCCCGGUGGAGGCCCGUCGACGGUACUGACGUGCAAAUCGUUCGUCCGACGUGCGAAUAGGGGCGAAAAGACCAAUCGAACCUCCUAGUAGCUGGUUUCCGCCGAAAUUUCCCUCAGGAUAGCGGCCAUCGCGGAAACGUUUUGACCGGUUAGAGCGAACGACUAGAGGUACCGGGGCCGUAACGGCCUCGACCUAUUCUCGAACUCCGAACGGGCAAGGAGCCGGGGUCGCCCGAUCGGACCCCGGACGUGAAGUCGACGAUGGUCGGUGGGCUGGUUUUGGUAAGCAGAACGGGCGAUUCGGGAGUGAACCGGAAGCGGGGAGAAAGGGC